rnacentral:rRNA from 1 species
AAAAGAAACCAACAGGGAUUGCCUCAGUAACGGCGAGUGAAGCGGCAACAGCUCAAAUUUGAAAUCUGGUCCUUUCAGGGCCCGAGUUGUAAUUUGGAGAGGAUGCUUCGGCUGCGGCCCUGGUCUAAGUUCCUUGGAACAGGACGUCACAGAGGGUGAGAACCCCGUACGUGGCUGGGUGCCAACGCCAUGUGAAGCUCCUUCGACGAGUCGAGUUGUUUGGGAAUGCAGCUCUAAACGGGAGGUAGAUUUCUUCUAAAGCUAAAUACCGGCGAGAGACCGAUAGCGCACAAGUAGAGUGAUCGAAAGAUGAAAAGCACUUUGGAAAGAGAGUUAAAAAGUACGUGAAAUUGUUGAAAGGGAAGCGCUUGCAACCAGACUUGGGCGUAGUUGUUUAGCUGGGCUUCUGCCCGGUGCACUCUUCUGCGCCCAGGCCAGCAUCAGUUCAGGCGGCCGGAUAAAGGCCUUGGGAAUGUAGCUCCUCUCGGGGAGUGUUAUAGCCCUCGGUGCAAUGCGGCCUGCCUGGACUGAGGUCCGCGCUUCUGCUAGGAUGCUGGCGUAAUGGUUGUAAGCGG